AGCCCGCACGCCCUCUCGCCCACUCCCCUCCUCCUCCCAUCCGACGCCACAGCAUGGGCGGGCCGCCCGUUCGAUGAUCCUCCCGCAGCCUCCCGCGCGGUUUGCUGCCCCGCCGCUCAAGGUCCUCCCGCAGCCUCCGCCGCUGAUCCUCCCAUGCGGUUCACCGCCCUGCCGCCGCCUGGUCCUCCCACAGCCGCCACCUCUACUGCCGCUCCAUGGAUGGGAGUUAAUCGGAGGAGAAGGAAAUCCCCGUCCCUGCGUAUGAGCCCCCGCCACCCACCACAAUGGCUCGACCGCCCAGCGGCGCGCUGCCCCGCGGCGCCCGACCAGUUCGGCUCUCGCGGCUGGUGGACGCGCCCUUGCUGUUGCCGACGUGCAAUGCCGGCUCGCUGUGCUGCACUGGCCCUCCCAAGCAUCUUCUGUCAAUGAAGGACAUGAGAGGCCAAGGAUUUUCCAUUGGGACAUUAGGACAUGCUCCUCCAUCUCCUCCGUUGGACGACAUCCAACAUCGCUAGGUAAAUUCCAGUUUUUGCAAAUUCUGGUUCUUGAUUUUUAAAACUGGAUGGCACCCAACCCCUCUAUUGUUCUACUUCUACUUAAAUCUGAUUUGGUUGUUCAGUUCACGCACUUACAAGCUGAUGAAAAAAUGGAAAUGAAGAAGAAGAAAAGAAUAAUAGCAAUAUUAUCAUAUGCGAGGUUCACUUUUAAACUUGGUUCCUAACCAAUAUUCUCUUCAUAAUUCUGCCGAGAGAUUCACACAGUCAUUCAUAUUACGAAUAUACUCCCUCCAUUCCAAAAUGGAUGACCCAACUUUAUACUAACUUUUUACUAAGUUAGUACAAAAUUGAGUCAUCUAUUUUAGAACGGAGGGAGUAGUUCAUAAGCAGUAUUCUCUUUUAUCUAAUUAUAUCAACAGAAAGGAGUAAUCUUAACUGAAUUGAUUCUAUGUUAACAAUCUAACAGACAUCUUGGAUGUGUGAAUGCUUUCUUCAGUCUGAUAAGGAACCAAUAACUCAUGGUAUACUAGGAUUUUCUCCAUACUUUAGCACUUCCGCACUGAGAAUAAAGCAAGUACUUUCACAACAAAGGUUGUUACCUCCAGGGUUUUUUGCCACCUAUAAUCCUUUCAGCAUUAGGGACUGCCCAAUUGGUUCUGGACAAUACAACAAAAGAAAUGUGCAAGAGAGCUUUAUGCCCACAAAUAAUAUUUCAGGCUGCUCCUUUUUAAUGACAGAGAUUCACACUGCCAUUCACAGAAUGAAUAUAGUUCCUAAGAAGUAUGCUCUUUUAUCUAAUUAUAUGUACAUCAAUUAAUAAGCAUUGUCUGAAUAGACGAAUGCUAGCCACAACCUUGCAAGGACACCACCGUGCCUUGGAAACACACUUUCAGGCUUGCCUCUCACUCCCUACGCAACCACUCUCAAGUGGAUGUUAUUAUUGUGGUUACUCCAUGGAGUAGACUGCUAGAACCUUCUUGUUGUUAUUACUCCAUGUAAUAAUAUGACCUUUGCAUUGAACCAUUUCUCCUAAAAACACCACACCGUCCUUUUGUUGUGUAGUCUCAUUUGGUUUCUUUGUGCAACAUUGCCUAUUCAAGCAUUGGCAAGUGCAAUCAAUGAGGAAAAUUUAGCUGAUCUGAAGGACCAAUUUGAUACAAUUGAUGAUAAAAGUGGACCAAUUACUGUAUUGAAGAAACGCAACAUGUAAGAUUUAGAGUACUUUCACAUGAUAAUGUUUUGCGCCAGUACUAGAUGGCCCUGAUGAUCUUUGUAUGUUUCGGUGGGCCCUUGUGAAGGAUCUUCACACUAAAGGCUCCUCAUGUUCUCAAGAUUAUUCAAGCAGUAAGCUGUGAGAUGGAUUUCUUUUUGGUUUCCCUUUUGUUUCAUAGAAAGCAACUGACUCUAUGCUAUAUGGUUUCCCUUUUGUUGUUGAGCAAGCAACUAACUGUAUCUCUCAAGCAAUUUACUCAUACGUUUGAUUGGAAAGAGACAACAACCAUUUGUUCUGCGACACUACUAUCUGACAGGUACUCAGUAUUAUACUAAUCGUCAAUGCGAUAGAAGUGUUCAUCCAUGAAUAAUGAGACCGAAGCCCAUUUUAGGUUAUGAGACUUUGUCCCGAUUCCAGAGAUGUACUAAAUUCCGUAGUUUGUUGUAUGACACUACUAUCUAAGAAGCAGAUUUUUUUGACACUUACUUAAGUGUAUUGGAUUUGGUAAACUAAUUAGCCCUAUUUGUCAGUUUGUGGUGUGCGAUUCUAAUGUGCGCUUUUGCUGUUGUUGUCAUUAUCCUCAAGAGAUCAUUCAAAUUUUGGAUUCAUGGAUUGCUAGAAUAGAUGAUUUGUGAAUCCAAUGUGUUCUUUUGCUGUUGUUGUUAGGUUGUUGAUUCAUCUAGGGUGUACUGAGUAUACAUAUCGUGUUUAUCUCGCGUGCCUUCUUAGGAAAAUCCUAUACUCAAGGUAAGCCAUUCUUUAUUUACAUUUAAUUUGUUUCUUCCUGCUACUUGUACAAUUUGCUACAUAUAUCUUUUGACUACUUUCCUGAAUUUUAGAUCCUAUUUGCACCGUUACCUGCAUUUUGUAUUCAAAACCAUCUGCUAAUUAAGUGUAGAAAAAGUAAUUGCAAGUUCUGUUUGUUGACUGUGUCGUGGUAGCUUCAGGCAUUUAGUUGUACACUGCCAAAGUAGGCAAAGAAAUGUAGGUCCGAUUAAGUGAUCAGCAUGCAUGCAUGAGCUACAUACUAUUAUUCAGGGAUGCAGUCUGACAGUAGUAACUUCAUUUGCUUAGAUGCUCACGGUAUUGCAGAGAAUGGCUCAUUUUUCAGCCCAAUUGUGACACAUAUCAUACCAGGCCAAAGUACUUUCCUUUUAGAUUUAUUAUUCCACAGGUCCAUAAUGCCCAUCAUCAGUAAGUUAAUCAAGAUAAGUUUACAUGCAUGUACUGAACAAACAAAACUCCGAGAGCAACCAAUUCUGUGAAACUUGUUGCCUCUCUUUUCUGUGUCGUCUAAAUGUAUCUUGUAUAUCUGAUCACCGAGUUUUUUUCCCUAUACUAGGUAUCAUCCAAAGGGGUGACAUACUUUCUCGCAGGGGCGGAGGCAGAGGGUGGACAGGGUGGUCCGCGGCCCACCCUGGAAUUUCAGACUAGGCUAUAUACACCCAGGCAGCAUGUUGAGAUGACCAAAGAAAAAUAAGCCCAAUUACAUAUUUGACCCUCGUACACAGCACACACACCACAUGGUUCUUUCUGGUUGGUUCGCAUCCCCGUCUCCCCGACACCCACCCACUCAGCCGUCCCAUCCCCGCUGCCUCGUUUUUUGUCGCUGGUCGCUGGUCGUCGCCCAGGAGGCAUCCCGCUCUCGCCUCCUUUCCGCCCGCGCCAACCGCGCCCCCUGUGAACUGUGGCGGCCCUGCCCUGCGCGGCUUCGCCGGUACCCCCGGCCGCCUGGCACACCUACAAAGACGAUGGCAGCCGCCAAGUCACCAGUCCGGUGGCGUUAAAUUAGCAACCUGUGUUCCAGCCCCAGUUAACCCGAUUUGAGGUAUCGGGAUACCCAAUUUCCAUUCCCGAUUUUUGAUUUAGGUUUUUUUGCUAUGAUAUGCUAUCCAGUACAUGAACCGAACACAUACAUAAUUUUGCACAUCAUUUAUGCCCAAAUUAUCCUUAAUGAUUGAGAAUAAAUUCUUAUUGCAGAAUUCUUGCAAAACUGAGAAUUUAAGUAUUUGGAAGACCAUAUUGAUAUAUUUAUAUGUGGUCUUGGUAAUUAUUUUGAACGUUCACAUGUCAUAUUUGUUGUCAAAUUUAUUUUUUUAGGACCACCCUGAUUUCAAAUCCUAGAUCCGCCACUACUUUCUCGGAUUCCUCAAGCAACAGAUGUAGUGUUGUCAGUCUCUGAAGAUGUGAAUCCGUCUGCUCCUAGGCAACAACAGAGGGAUGAUUGGGAUAUACUAAAAGCCACAGUAUAUUGAGGCUUAGUGGAGUCAGUCACCAGCCUCUCCGUUGUUUGAACAACAGCAUCAAGCGGCGCCAAAACAUGUCAGUUACUUCCAUCUUGGGCAUAGCCAACCUUAUUGGUGGACCGACUCUCAUUUUUCAGAAUAUUGCUGAUCAGAGAGACAUCCGAGACAUGAACGAGGGAAAAAUGAGAACGUCGGCCACUAUUGGCUCAAGCUCAGGAGGUGGUCGAAAGCCCGGCUCCACAUGGUCCUAGCACUACUGUCACACAUGGUCUUUGGGUCACUUCCACCAGUGCUCUGCGGGUUGUCGUUCCGUGAGAGCAAUGACGGGGAGAACAAGAUGAUGAAUGUCGCCGAUGCUUCGCUCGCCUGCAUCGCGCUGCUUGCGCUCGGGACGUGCAUGUCCACAGAAGAGCCAUGCCAUACUUCAAGACUCUAAUUUACUACCUGACCAUCGCCGUGAGCUUGUCCCGGAUAUUGUACGUUGCCGGUGUGCUGAUCACAAGGCUUCUCAAACACUUUGGCACCAUCGAUCUAGGUGGUGGAUUGGCUCCUCAUGCUUCUCUAGGCUUGUUGUUCUCUCAUUUAGGUCGUGCACAUACGUCUGCCUAGGCCUCAAUCUGAUGGCUUAAGUUCCUCGGAGCACUGAUGGUAUACAAAGAGAAGACAUGUGUGAGUUCAAGAGAAAGUGCAUGAAGAAACAUCUGAAUCUCUUUGAGUUGCUACCUACUAUUUUGUUGAAAUUCUGGUGUACAUACUAUCAUUUAUGUCAAAAUGUGUGAUCUUGGUCAGUCGAGUUCAUCUGUAUCAUGGAAUAUUACUAUUAGUUACUCCCUCCGUUCCAAAAUAGAUGACCCAACUUUUUACUAAAGUUAGUAUAAAGUUAGGUCAUCUAUUUUGGA
rnacentral:rRNA from 1 species